GGUCAUGGCUCAGUGGUAGAGCAUAUGACUGACAUGCAGAAGGUCCCACCCAGAUUCAAUCUCUGCCAUCUCCA
rnacentral:tRNA from 1 species